AUUUUAAGACGACUGAGUGGCGGACGGGUGAGUAACACGUGGAUAACCUGCCUCACACUGGGGGACAACAGUUAGAAAUGACUGCUAAUACCGCAUAAGCGCACAGUACCGCAUGGUACAGUGUGAAAAACUCCGGUGGUGUGAGAUGGAUCCGCGUCUGAUUAGCCAGUUGGCGGGGUAACGGCCCACCAAAGCGACGAUCAGUAGCCGACCUGAGAGGGUGACCGGCCACAUUGGGACUGAGACACGGCCCAAACUCCUACGGGAGGCAGCAGUGGGGAAUAUUGCACAAUGGGCGAAAGCCUGAUGCAGCGACGCCGCGUGAGUGAAGAAGUAUUUCGGUAUGUAAAGCUCUAUCAGCAGGGAAGAUAAUGACGGUACCUGACUAAGAAGCCCCGGCUAACUACGUGCCAGCAGCCGCGGUAAUACGUAGGGGGCAAGCGUUAUCCGGAUUUACUGGGUGUAAAGGGAGCGUAGACGGCAUGGCAAGUCUGAAGUGAAAACCCAGGGCUCAACCCUGGGACUGCUUUGGAAACUGUCAAGCUAGAGUGCAGGAGAGGUAAGUGGAAUUCCUAGUGUAGCGGUGAAAUGCGUAGAUAUUAGGAGGAACACCAGUGGCGAAGGCGGCUUACUGGACUGUAACU
rnacentral:rRNA from 1 species